rnacentral:rRNA from 1 species
AUUGAACGCUGGCGGCAGGCCUAACACAUGCAAGUCGAGCGAGAAAGCACCUCGGUGCGAGUACAGCGGCGGACGGGUGAGUAACGCGUAGGAAUCUACCCAGUAGUGGGGGACAACAUGGUGAAAACCAUGCUAAUACCGCAUACGCCCCAAGGGGGAAAGCGGGGGAUCUUCGGACCUCGCGCUAUUGGAUGAGCCUGCGUAGGAUUAGCUUGUUGGUGAGGUAAAAGCUCACCAAGGCGACGAUCCUUAGCUGGUCUGAGAGGAUGAUCAGCCACACUGGGACUGAGACACGGCCCAG